GGAGGGCGGAAGAGGGCGGGGGGAAGCGGGAUUUGAAGCCAGGUCUGGGAAGGAAUGCCGAAGGCAACGGUCUUCCAAAGUCUCUGCUUCCCUGGCACUUCCCAAAAUCAGGCAUUGAGGCGAAGCUCAGAACCGACCAUAGCUGUCAGUAAAAGUAACUGUCACGGGCGGCACCUAGCGUGGCUCGGGACUUUUGCGUGGCCCGUCGCGUCGCGAGCUCUAGCUCCUCUUCCCUCGCGAGAGGCCAUCGGGACGGGUAUCGUUCCCGUUCUGCAGGUAAGAAAAGAACCAAGGAGCAGAGAAGCCCACAAGACCAGAGUUCAGAAGUGGAGGGAAUCCCGGAAGCCACCUAGCACCGUCUCCUUGUUCACGAGAUCAUCCUGCCACUGUGGUCUUCGUUAUACCCCCAUUAUAUAGAUGAGGCAAGGAGGCGAAUACAGAGGUCCCAAAAUCUUAUCAACUCUGAGAGAAACUGCUGACAACAGUUGGUGAAGUUGUAAAGGACAUACAGGCUUGCUUAUAUAAGGUUAUAUGACUCACCAAGGAUCACCCAGUUUAGUGAGUUUCUGAGGCAAAAGUAGGGGCAGUGAAUAAAAUGGAUUUAGACUCUAUGCCAGGAAGAACUUUCUGACUAUUAGAAGUAUAUCUAAAUGGUAUAAGAUGCAUCACCAGAGUUGAUCUUUACCUUGUUUUUGGAAGAAGUUCCUAACUCUUCACCAACCUUUUGAUGCAAUGAAAACAGCUAAUUAAUCAAUAAACUUCUAAACCCAACAUUCAAAAUCUUCAACAAUUAGUCU